GUCCACGCCCUAAACGAUGAGUGCUAGGUAUUGGGAAUUUAUUCUCAGUUCCGUAGCUAACGCGUUAAGCACUCCGCCUGGGAAGUACGGUCGCAAGGCUAAAACUCAAAGGAAUUGACGGGGCCCGCACAAGCGGUGGAGCAUGCGGUUUAAUUCGAUACUACGCGAAAACCUUACCAACUCUUGACAUAUUAAUCGUCGGCACAGAGAUGUGCUUUCAGUUCGGCUGGAUUAUUACAGGUGUUGCAUGGCUGUCGU
rnacentral:rRNA from 1 species